AAAAAGAGCAAAAAAAACAAGAACAAAAAAAGAAAAAAAACAAAGAAACAAAAGCGAAAGGA
rnacentral:tRNA from 1 species